AUGGUAGCUUGCUCCUGAUGUUAGCGGCGGACGGGUGAGUAACACGUGGGUAACCUGCCUGUAAGACUGGGAUAACUCCGGGAAACCGGGGCUAAUACCGGAUGCUUGUUUGAACCGCAUGGUUCAAACAUAAAAGGUGGCUUCGGCUACCACUUACAGAUGGACCCGCGGCGCAUUAGCUAGUUGGUGAGGUAAUGGCUCACCAAGGCGACGAUGCGUAGCCGACCUGAGAGGGUGAUCGGCCACACUGGGACUGAGACACGGCCCAGACUCCUACGGGAGGCAGCAGUAGGGAAUCUUCCGCAAUGGACGAAAGUCUGACGGAGCAACGCCGCGUGAGUGAUGAAGGUUUUCGGAUCGUAAAGCUCUGUUGUUAGGGAAGAACAAGUACCGUUCGAAUAGGGCGGUACCUUGACGGUACCUAACCAGAAAGCCACGGCUAACUACGUGCCAGCAGCCGCGGUAAUACGUAGGUGGCAAGCGUUGUCCGGAAUUAUUGGGCGUAAAGGGCUCGCAGGCGGUUUCUUAAGUCUGAUGUGAAAGCCCCCGGCUCAACCGGGGAGGGUCAUUGGAAACUGGGGAACUUGAGUGCAAAAGAGGAGAGUGGAAUUCCACGUGUAGCGGUGAAAUGCGUAGAGAUGUGGAGGAACACCAGUGGCGAAAGCGACUCUCUGGUCUGUAACUGACGCUGAGGAGCGAAAGCGUGGGGAGCGCACAUGAUUAUAUACACUGGUAGUCCCGCCGUAGACGAUGACUGCAAAGUGUGAGGGGCUUCCGCCCCCUAGUGCUG
rnacentral:rRNA from 1 species